CUUGCCUAUUCUCCAUGGUUGGUCCUCUUACCUAUUCUCCAUGGUUGACCCUCUUGCCUAUUCUCCAUGGUCGGUCCUCUGGCCUAUUCUCCAUGGUCGGCCCUCUGGCCUAUUCUCCAUGGUCGGUCCUCUGGCCUAUUCUCCAUGGUCGGUCCUCUUGCCUAUUCUCCAUGGUUGGCCCUCUUACCUAUUCUCCAUGGUUGGCCCUCUGGCCUAUUCUCCAUGGUCGGUCCUCUGGCCUAUUCUCCAUGGUUGGUCCUCUGGCCUAUUCUCCAUGGUUGGUCCUCUUACCUAUUCUCCAUGGUUGACCCUCUUGCCUAUUCUCCAUGGUCGGUCCUCUGGCCUAUUCUCCAUGGUCGGCCCUCUGGCCUAUUCUCCAUGGUCGGUCCUCUGGCCUAUUCUCCAUGGUCGGUCCUCUUGCCUAUUCUCCAUGGUUGGCCCUCUUACCUAUUCUCCAUGGUUGGCCCUCUGGCCUAUUCUCCAUGGUCGGUCCUCUGGCCUAUUCUCCAUGGUUGGUCCUCUGGCCUAUUCUCCAUGGUUGGUCCUCUGGCCUAUUCUUUGAAGGUGGAAGAAGCCACAGUUAUACACCUGAGGCUGCUUACUGCACAACACAAUCCAUCAAUCAGAUUGAUAUAUGAGUGGGUAGGUGUGGGUUACAGGGUGUCUAACAGUUCUACAUUUUUUUCAAAUUGGGACUUAAAAUAACCUGUUCUGUUUUUGUACAGACGUCACACCCUUACCUGAACAACACCCUUACCUGAGAAAUUGAAAGAAACUGGGAAUUGAAUAACUGCAGUUGACAUAGUCAAGUAAAUGGAAGAAUAGUCUUAUUGCAAUGUGAAUGACUCUUAAAAGAGCCUUUGGUUGUGCAUAGUGUAGUCUAUGGUGUUGCCAGGAAACAGCACCCUCUUCAAAGAAGUAGGAGGUGAAGAUCUCCCGUACACGGAUUGCCUUCCCAUGCUGUGUUGUUGGACCCCAUCCUUGAAACAUCCUGCAGAGCAGCAGACUCCUCCUCUGGCACACUGCGG
rnacentral:lncRNA from 13 species